CACAGCACAGAGGGAGCCAGCAGCAUCAGACUUGUCCUCCACAGGCAUGCCUGGCUUCAUGAAGAUCUGCCAUGAAGAGCCAGGAGGUGGCAGGGUCCAAAAUGUUCUGGUCUCAUCCUGAGCCCAGCUUCGAACACACUACUUGGACAGGCUUCUCCUUCCUAAGAUUUGACAACUGUUCAGCCAGGGACAAGACUGAGCAAACACAUCAGAGGCAGGGGGAUUGCUUCCAGCUGCUGAGACCAGGCAGGCCUCCAGGACAAGCACUGUCUUCUGCCGCUCACCCCCAUCGAGGAGGAAUGACCUCCCAAGACUUCAAAGGACUCUGGAACUAAGCUGAUAACAGGGCAACUGGACAGCCCCUCCCCGGCUAUGUUCCUUAGAGUACUUUAGCAUUCACUGUGUGUAGGAAUUAGGAUCUCUGUUGUACCCACUCCCCAGGGUGUGUGUGUAUGCACUCACGCACACGCACAGAUACACAGGUACUAUUGUGCAUAUGUGGAGAUCAGGGGACAACAUGGCAUCAAAACUGGCU
rnacentral:lncRNA from 1 species